rnacentral:rRNA from 1 species
AGAUUGAACGCUGGCGGCAUGCCUUACACAUGCAAGUCGAACGGCAGCACGGGAGCAAUCCUGGUGGCGAGUGGCGAACGGGUGAGUAAUACAUCGGAACGUGCCCAGUAGUGGGGGAUAGCCCGGCGAAAGCCGGAUUAAUACCGCAUACGACCUACGGGUGAAAGCGGGGGAUCGCAAGACUCGCGCUGUUGGAGCGGCCGAUGUCAGAUUAGGGUUGUUGGUGGGGUAAAGGCCUACC